AUCGCUUCUCGGCCUUUUGGCUAAGAUCAAGUGUAGAAAUCUGUCUUCUAGUAAAGUAAACUUAAAGUGAGUUAGCCUAAAAUAUAUUAAAGGACACUCACU
ensembl:snRNA U2 U2 spliceosomal RNA